rnacentral:rRNA from 1 species
AUUGAACGCUGGCGGCAGGCCUAACACAUGCAAGUCGAGCGGCAGCGGGAAAGUAGCUUGCUACUUUUGCCGGCGAGCGGCGGACGGGUGAGUAAUGCCUGGGAAAUUGCCCAGUCGAGGGGGAUAACAGUUGGAAACGACUGCUAAUACCGCAUACGCCCUACGGGGGAAAGCAGGGGACCUUCGGGCCUUGCGCGAUUGGAUAUGCCCAGGUGGGAUUAGCUAGUUGGUGAGGUAAUGGCUCACCAAGGCGACGAUCCCUAGCUGGUCUGAGAGGAUGAUCAGCCACACUGGAACUGAGACACGGUCCAGACUCCUACGGGAGGCAGCAGUGGGGAAUAUUGCACAAUGGGGGAGACCCUGAUGCAGCCAUGCCGCGUGUGUGAAGAAGGCCUUCGGGUUGUAAAGCACUUUCAGCGAGGAGGAAAGGUUGAUGCCUAAUACGUAUCAACUGUGACGUUACUCGCAGAAGAAGCACCGGCUAACUCCGUGCCAGCAGCCGCGGUAA